AUUGAACGCUGGCGGCAUGCUUUACACAUGCAAGUCGAACGGCAGCGCGGGCUUCGGCCUGGCGGCGAGCGGCGAACGGGUGAGUAAUACAUCGGAACGUGCCCAGUAGUGGGGGAUAGCUCGGCGAAAGCCGGAUUAAUACCGCAUACGACCUGAGGGUGAAAGCGGGGGAUCUUCGGACCUCGCGCUAUUGGAGCGGCCGAUGGCAGAUUAGCUAGUUGGUGGGGUAAAGGCCUACCAAGGCGACGAUCUGUAGCUGGUCUGAGAGGACGACCAGCCACACUGGGACUGAGACACGGCCCAGACUCCUACGGGAGGCAGCAGUGGGGAAUUUUGGACAAUGGGCGAAAGCCUGAUCCAGCAAUGCCGCGUGUGUGAUGAAGGCCUUCGGGUUGUAAAGCACUUUUGGCGGGAACGAAAAGGACUGUGCCAAUACCACGGCUCGAUGACGGUACCCGCAGAAUAAGCACCGGCUAACUACGUG
rnacentral:rRNA from 1 species